rnacentral:misc_RNA from 1 species
AUCAAACUUGGCUUUCUUCCUUCCGUGUAGUCGGUGGAGGAUGUGCCAGAUGUGAAGUGUCUUGCGGUUUGUGUGCCUUCGGGCCGAGGCUGCGAGUCCUUUGAAAUGUACUGAACUGUACUUCUCUUUGCUCGAAAAGCGUGGUGUUGCUGGUUGUGGAGGCUGCCUGCGUGGCCAGUCGGCGACCGGUUUGUCUGCUGCGGCGUUUAAUGGAGGAGUGUUCGAUUCGCGGUAUGGUUGGCUUCGGCUGAACAGGCGCUUAUUGUAUGCUUUUCCUGCUGUGGCGUGAUGGGCUGGUGAACCGUAGCUGUGUGUGGCUUGGCUUUUGAAUCGGCUUU